AACGAACGCUGGCGGCAUGCCUAACACAUGCAAGUCGAACGAGACCUUCGGGUCUAGUGGCGCACGGGUGCGUAACGCGUGGGAACCUGCCCUUAGGUUCGGAAUAACUCCCCGAAAGGGGUGCUAAUACCGGAUAAUGUCUUCGGACCAAAGAUUUAUCGCCUUUGGAUGGGCCCGCGUUGGAUUAGCUAGUUGGUAGGGUAAAAGCCUACCAAGGCGACGAUCCAUAGCUGGUCUGAGAGGAUGAUCAGCCACACUGGGACUGAGACACGGCCCAGACUCCUACGGGAGGCAGCGGUGGGGAAUAUUGGACAAUGGGCGAGAGACUGAUCCAGCAAUGCCGCGUGAGUGAUGAAGGCCUUAGAGUUGUAAAGCUCUUUUACCCGCGAUGAUAAUGACAGUACCGGGAGAAUAAGCGCCGGCUAACUCCGUG
rnacentral:rRNA from 1 species